CUGUCCGAGGACUAAAAAGAAUUGAUCCCAACUACAGAUUUCCAACGUGCAAAGGUUUCUUCAAUAUUUAUCACCCUUUUGAUCCUGUGGCCUAUAGGAUUGAACCAAUGGUGGUCCCAGGAGUGGAAUUUGAGCCAAUGCUGAUCCCACAUCAUAAAGGCAGGAAGCGGAUGCACUUAGAACUGAGAGAGGGCUUGACCAGGAUGAGUAUGGACCUUAAGAACAACUUGCUAGGUUCGCUGCGGAUGGCCUGGAAGUCUUUUACCAGAGCUCCAUACCCUGCCUUACAAGCUUCAGAAACACCAGAAGAAACUGAAGCAGAACCUGAAUCAACUUCAGAGAAGCCUAGUGGUCAGUGACACUGUACACAUUGACCAGCUGCCAGAUAAGAGGGAUGCCAUGGUGUGGCAUUUUUCAUAGUUAAUUUAAUUUCACAUUUAAUUUCAUAGUUAAUAUUGCAUUCUUUUGCUUUAGUUUUCAACUUCUAAAGAGCUCUAUUCCUGCUUGCAUUUAGUAUAAACCCAAGGCAAAUGACCUAGCUAUCAAUGGUAUAGGUAAUGAGAUGUGUUGCACAAAAGCAAAAAAGGGGAUUGGACAAAAUUACUGUGACCUGAGAAGGAGCUUGAAGGAGAUUGAGAGGAGGAAGAUGGGAGAGAGCUCUCUGAACAGAGAGUAGCUCAUUCUGUGGUAAACU
rnacentral:sRNA from 1 species